GGGAUUGUGGCUCAGUGGUAGAGCGCUCACCUAGCACAUGUGAGGCCCUGGGUUCAAUCCUCAGCACCA
rnacentral:tRNA from 1 species